CUGGGGAGGGUGACUGACAGUCACUGCCUGGGAGAGUGGACAAAGGCAAUGGCAGAGCUGUUUCUGGAAUGAAGACAUCACAGAGUGAUCAGCUUGUGUUGGAAGGAAUGGGGAUGGAAAAGAGGAAGGUGCAGCAUGCAGUGCGGCCAGAGUUAGGUGCUGCCUCUCCAUUUUCAGCAGCAGACGACAUCUACAAGAGAAACACAUUGCCAUUUGAACUUGAAUGCUACUCUGAAAUACAAUAUAUUAAUAAUAUUGCUAACCAAAGGAUCUAUUUUAAGUGAUGUUUAACAAAGUUCACAUGAACCUAUUAACCAGGGACAUUGGAGUCGGAGAGGCCAUGUAGCAGGGACAAAGAAGAUGCUUGGGGAUGUACUGGUAAACUGCAAAGGGCUAUUACAAUGGUCGCAAUGAUGACUACUGUUUCUUCUUAGACUUGUUAUGCUUCUGCACCACAUCAUCUGUAACUAAUGAAGCCAAGGUCCUGGAAUCAAUCCCCGGCAGAUACCAAGGGCUGACUGCACUGAAUUUCCUUUGGGGGUGAUGCAGAUGUUUUGGAACUGCAUAGAGAGGACUCAAAAGAAGAGAGCAUUGAGGGAAAGAGACUCCAAGAAAUUCUUAAACAACACACCCUGAUUCAAAUCCAAAACCUAAAUGAAGUGAAACAAACAAUGAAGAAAACCACCCUCAAUGUCAUUCUUUACUCAACAGGGAGCUCACGAUGAUAGUCCAAGAGAACAUUUACAGUGCCAAAAGAAAUACCCAAUCCAUCCAUCAUCCCCUCACUCCCACUCCCUCCCAAACAUCUCAUAUUUUCCUUCCCAAAAGAUACCCAUACUCAACAGCUAUUUGUCACUCCCAAGUUCUAAUAAUCCUCUUGGCAUCUCAACAUUAAAAUCUUUCU